ACAACAUUUGGACCGUCGGUCUACCGAGCAAUAUCACCCGCUCGGUGGAAGAUCUUCUUUUUGUCGU
rnacentral:pre_miRNA from 1 species